GGUGUUUUAGGUUUUGAGAUAAUUGCCAGACCGAUUAAGUUAUGAUAACUGUGUUAUAAAUGUCACAGAACGAUUUACGGUCAAAAUGGAUGUCUCAAGUGCAAUCCAUUUGUUGAUGAUUCUUUUAUUCCUUGUUUCACCUAUUCAGACAGUGAACAGUUUACAAAUUAUCUUUACGGACCAAACCCACCACAUUGAAAUAGGAGCGGAAGUUCGUUUAACAUGUGUUGUGAUUGGUGGAAACAAACCUCAUGUGACAUGG